rnacentral:rRNA from 1 species
UACGGGGGGAGCAAGCGUUGUUCGGAUUUACUGGGCGUAAAGGGCGCGUAGGCGGCCACCGCAAGUCGACUGUGAAAUCUCCGGGCUUAACCCGGAAAGGUCAGCCGAUACUGCGGGGCUAGAGUGCAGAAGGGGCAACUGGAAUUCUCGGUGUAGCGGUGAAAUGCGUAGAUAUCGAGAGGAAGACCAGUGGCGAAGGCGGGUCUCUGGACAGUUCCUGACGCUGAGGCACGAAGGCCAGGGGAGCAAACGGG